rnacentral:rRNA from 1 species
UACGAAGGGGGCUAGCGUUGUUCGGAAUCACUGGGCGUAAAGGGCGCGCAGGCGGCUCAUUUUGUCAGGCGUGAAAGCCCCGGGCUUAACCUGGGAGGUGCGUUUGAUACGGAUGGGCUAGAGUUCGGGAGAGGAGAGUGGAAUUCCCAGUGUAGAGGUGAAAUUCGUAGAUAUUGGGAAGAACACCGGUGGCGAAGGCGGCUCUCUGGACCGAGACUGACGCUGAGGCGCGAAAGCGUGGGGAGCAAACAGG